rnacentral:rRNA from 1 species
AUUGAACGCUGGCGGCAUGCCUUACACAUGCAAGUCGAGCGGCAGCGCGGGGGCAACCCUGGCGGCGAGCGGCGGACGGGUGAGUAAUACAUCGGAACGUGUCCUUUCGUGGGGGAUAACCAGUCGAAAGACUGGCUAAUACCGCAUGAGAUCUCACGAUGAAAGCGAGGGGACCCGGGGUAACGUUCGGCCUCGCGCGAUUGGAGCGGCCGAUGUCGGAUUAGCUAG